rnacentral:rRNA from 1 species
CCUCAGUAGUUAGAUAACAAAACUACUCGCCAGAAUACUACGAGCUACAGCUUAAAACUCAAAGGACUUGACGGUGCUUUACACCCCCUAGAGGAGCCUGUUCCGUAAUCGAUAAACCCCGAUCCACCCCACCCUCUCUUGCUCAGCCUAUAUACCGCCAUCUUCAGCAAACCCCAAUGAAGGUCACAAAGUGAGCGCAAACGCCACCACCGCGAAUACGUUAGGUCAAGGUGUAGCCUAUGAGAUGGUAAAAAAUGGGCUACAUUUUCUACCUCAGAAAAUUCCACGAAAGCCCUUAUGAAAUUUAAGGGCCCAAGGAGGAUUUAGCAGUAAAUUAAGAAUAGAGUGCUUAAUUGAACUAGGCCAUAAAGNG